AGCCAUCAUUGCAACAUGGACCAUUAAUUUAGAUCUAAAAAAAUCAAAAGCGAAGGGUUUCUUCGAGGAGAAGGAGGAUGCGUAGCUUAGGAUCGAAGUUUUAAUAUAAAAUUUUAAAUUCUCAGUUAGUUGAUCCCUUACGAUCGAGGCAGAGUGGGCCCUUUUUAUUCGGAAGAUCGCACAAUCCUAUAUUUCGGAUGCGCUAAAGCAACUUUGGAGGCUCGCUUACCCUAAUCGAGCAAUUCCUCCUCUCAAAUCAGAAUUGUGGAAGGAGAUGGGUUGGCAAGGUACAGACCCAUCCUUGGAUUUCAGGGGUGGUGGAUUUGUAUCGCUGGAGAACCUCAUCUUUUUCGCACAGAACUACCCAGAUUCAUUUCAGAUGCUAUUGCACAAACAGGAAGGGCAGAGAGCCGAAUGGGAGUACCCUUUUGCCGUUGCCGGUGUUAAUAUAUCGUUCAUGUUAUUAAAGAUCAUACUGCGAAAGAAAAACUAAGAGCAUUCAUCAUACUGCCAAAGAAAAACUAAAAACUUGCAUAAUAUCCAAGAGCUGAUGAAUGCUAUUUUUCUAUUUUUAUUGCUUGCAGACUUUGCUAGAAUAAUUGACAUAUAAGUGGAAUAUUCUAGACAA